rnacentral:lncRNA from 1 species
UGGUGCCAUACCAGCCUCACUGACUCAGAAUUUGGGGGGGUGGGGGCUGAGGAGGACAGCAGGAGGCCCAGAAAUCUGAAUUUUACUAAGUGUCCAGGUGAUUCCGACAUCCAGACAGUCGAGACACUUGUUGUAAAUCCCUUACAGGUGAGUGACUAACUUAGCAGAUAAUUCUGCUGAAUUGUUUGGCCCACUGAUGAGAUUCGUUUCGGGAUCAAGUUGAGCCUUUUGGGCUCCCCAGUCAGCCCCACAAUGUAUAUUUCACACAUGCAAAUGUGCUCAUAUGGAAGUCUUCGCGAAACAGCAGCCAGUUUUAUUUGAGAUGCCUUACAAUUUGAAAAUAAAUGAUGCCAAAUUUAACCAGAUGGUCCAUUCUUGGAGACUCUGGGACACAUCAAGGCCAUUUGUAGCUGGAGUGGUUUUGGGUUCCUAAACUCUGCCUUCAAGAGAUGUAUUUCCUAAUUAUUCCAUCUAUUCUUUUACUUCUGCAAUCCCCAUCUGGCUGGCUUUCAUCACGUGCAUCCAAUCAGAAUCCCAAUGACAUUCUUCACAGAAAUAGAAAAAAGAAUCCAAAAAUUGAUAUGGAACAAUAAAAGACCCUGAAUAGCCA